AUGAGGUCGGUGCUUGCCACACUUCUUACAGAAGGUCCGCAGGUUUUAGGGACGUUCACCGUCACGACGGUGGGAAAAGAUUAAGCUGGGUGUUACUCGGUCAUCAUACCAUGCUGACGAGAAGUUCUCUGUACAUUUAUAAACGCGUAGAUAAACAAACACGUGGAGGGCCCAGCAGAUGUCAUGGACGUUCAGGCCGGUUGGACACAACAGACGGACAUUCAACAGGACAGCUUGGCGAGGCCUCAGACUACAGCAUGAACUCGCAUCUGGGAGUGGACGUUCCCAUCUGGUCACCGCAGCAGCCAACACGUGCAUCCUCGUGAGCCACGAGUCUGAAGGCCGCCCUGGUGUGAGUUCACUGCUGAGCCUGAACUCUUCUGGGAAGUCGUGGCUUUGAACCAUGCAUCCAAGAGGGUCUCAGAGUUCUGACCACAAAUAAAGCCUGUGAGCCCCAGGGAAACCCAGGCCUGCCGCCUCCGUGGUGCCCACCGGACUGUCAGGGAGCGCCCUGCUGUGGCAGGGGUGGGCCAGGCAAUACCAGGGCCUUGCCAGGCCAUAGUCACUGGGCUCAUGGGUCCUGAGGGCUUUGCGCCAAGUGUCCUC